rnacentral:rRNA from 1 species
AUUGAACGCUGGCGGCAGGCCUAACACAUGCAAGUCGAGCGGAUGACGGGAGCUUGCUCCUUGAUUCAGCGGCGGACGGGUGAGUAAUGCCUAGGAAUCUGCCUGGUAGUGGGGGACAACGUUUCGAAAGGAACGCUAAUACCGCAUACGUCCUACGGGAGAAAGCAGAGGACCUUCGGGCCUUGCGCUAUCAGAUGAGCCUAGGUCGGAUUAGCUAGUUGGUGGGGUAAUGGCUCACCAAGGCGACGAUCCGUAACUGGUCUGAGAGGAUGAUCAGUCACACUGGAACUGAGACACGGUCCAGACUCCUACGGGAGGCAGCAGUGGGGAAUAUUGGACAAUGGGCGAAAGCCUGAUCCAGCCAUGCCGCGUGUGUGAAGAAGGUCUUCGGAUUGUAAAGCACUUUAAGUUGGGAGGAAGGGCAGUAAGCUAAUACCUUGCUGUUUUGACGUUACCGACAGAAUAAGCACCGGCUAACUCUGUGCCAGCCGCCGCCUAA